rnacentral:lncRNA from 1 species
CUUAGAGACUAACAAAUUUAUUUGAGCAUAAGCUUUCAUGGGCUACAGCCCAUUUCUUUGGAUGCCACAAGUACUACUGUUCUUUUUGCGGAUACAGACUAACACGGCUGCUGCUCUGAAACCUAUUUAGAUAAUGUUACUGUUGUGUCUUUGUCGUGGUAACAGUUACAUCGUUUUUUCCUUGUAUUCCUCUGUCUGUCUGUAUAGAUCUGUUGUCUCUUGUUAUGUACUAGACUGUGAGCUUUUUCGGGUACAAACUGUCUAUUUGUUGUGUGUUUGUACAGCACCUGGCGCAAUAGGGUCCUGCUCCAGGACUGGGGCUCUACGGCUUGACCAUAACACAAACAAUAAAUAAAUAAGAAACUGCAGCACAAACAGGAGACACUUUGUACUAUGUCCUGCGAUGCCCUGCCCAGAAUGUAAACAAUGUAAUUUAGAAAAUAUUCAAAACAACAUUUAUUCUGCAGUAUUUUCAUUUUUAUAUUUUCCAAAGAAUUUUCAUUUUGAAAAUUAUUUGCUUGUGUGAAAAAAUUUCCUUAAGUUGAAACGGCACUGUCCAAAGGAAACAUAUUUUGUUGUAGAAUUUUACGUACCUGGCUCGAUGCAGGAAGCCAAACUGUCUGGAUAGAAUGGGCCCUGCUGGCCUUUGAACCUGUGAUGCUAUCCUAGGGUUCCCUAUCUGAGUACACGCAUACACGCACGACCCCACACACAAGCUGCCUGUAUUCCCUGCCUGCCUGAGCUGGGGUUCCUGCUCGAGCAGAGAGUGCUCUUAUCUGUCUCUGUGGAUUCAGGGUUGUCACCGUUGGAUUGUGCCUACCCCUCCUUCCACUGGUUGUCACACUUCCCCAUCAUCUCCUCCCCAGCAGAGAGGGACCUUUGUACCAAGCCCUGGGGCUCGCUGACCACACCCUUAUUGCAUCUUUUCUCUUCCCCAUGGGCAGGUUUUCCGGUUCGCAAACCAGCCCUGAUCUCUCAGCUGGAGCGACGGGAGGAGCCGUGCAUCCUAGAUCCCGCAGCCUCUGAGGAGCAGGAGACCCAGAGGGAUGUCCCAGCAGGCACCGGCAGGGGGCUGGGCGCUGAGGAGCUGGCUGUGCAGCACCACGGGGAGGCGCAGG